rnacentral:lncRNA from 1 species
UCCCUCCCACCCUCGCCUAAGCCUGACAGCCUGGCCCGGUAGCCCCCACUCACGGAGUUUCCACCCCCUUUUCAGUUUCACUCGGAGAUCAGGGGCUGUACCAUACUCCCAUUUCUUGAUCGUUUCCAUUUUUAAGUUUCAGAAUCGCCACCAUCACAACCACCGUGACACAAAUUUUGAACUAUGCCACAGCUCAUAGUUUUCCUGGAUUCAAGUCACUUGAAAUCAUCUAUCUGAUCAGUUUGGCUGACAUUCUUUCGGAGUUGGGAUACUAGUGUCCUUGGGUUUUAUGUUAAUCUUUCCUGAUUUCAUCAAUGAAAUGAUCACCUGACUGCAAUCAACGAUGAAAUGAUGUAAAGAGUCAGAGUAUUACAGCCACUGCGUUGGAGGAAAAUAACUUGUAAAUACUAAGGUCAAACCGCCAGGAACCCACAUUAGAGUUACAUACUGUGGGAAAGCAUUAAACUCUGCAUGCACUUUUAAAAAGCAUUCCAUGUGAAGUUUGAAAAUGAAAUGUCAAAUCCUUUCUCUAGAAUAUAAAUUGCUACUGAUUUCAGGAGUGGAAUCUAUCAGCUACCUGAGAUUUGAAGAGAAGUUCUUGCAGUGCAAAUUUGUUCAGCUCUGGUUGUAGAAGAGUCCCUGGGUUCAG